rnacentral:lncRNA from 1 species
AAAAGGAUUGCUUGUGGAUUAGAUGAGUGCACAGCUACUACAUCAAGCAAAGGGACUUAGAAACAAUGCCAUCACCCAAGACAGCUUCUUGGGUGGUAAAGAAGAUACUAGAUAGAAGGGAAGAUCUCAUGGGAGUUCAAGUGAGCCAAGGCAACCUUUUCACUAGAUUGCAAACAUUCUGUAGCCUGGAUAAAUUCCUUAUCCACAAGCUAUACCUGGCACUAACUCCUACCUAUAGUAAGGCUGCUUGGAGGAACCUGGUACUAUUUGCCCAAGCUCAACCAAGGUACAAAUUUACAGUCUGGCUAGCUGCUCAUGGAAGAUUACCUACAGUUGAUAGACUACAGAAGAUUGGGUCCAAGUCCCUCAAUCAUGUGUACUCUUAUGGAAGAUUACCUACAGUUCAUAGACUUCAGAAGAUUGGAGUCCAAGUCCCUCAAUCAUGUGUACUCUGUGACUAUAGCAAUGAGGUCUUUAGCCAUCUUUUCUUUGACUGCUCUAUCACCAAAAACCUGUGGAGCAGAAUCUGCUCCUGGCUAGGAUACAUAGAAAUGUGGAGAACAGGGAGACAGAAAUGAUG